UUACGGCCAUAUCAUGUUUGAAACACCAGUUCUCCUAUGAUCACUGAAGUUAAGCAACAUCAAGCCUGGUUAGUAACUAGAUGGGUAUCUGCAUAGGAAUAGCACGAGUCA